AAGCAGUUUCCCUGGUGUUCAGAGUGAUGUGGGACUGGGUAAAGAGACCGGAGUCUGGGAAGAGGGUGCAGCCCAAGAGAGUGAACAGGUGUCAGCUGGGUGGAGUCUGGAUCUCUGGUUCAGAGGAUAGCUCUGGAAAGGCACUGCAUUAGGGUGGAAUACCUUUCAGGGCCUAAGACAAGAAGAAACAAUAGGAAGGUUUGGAGACAACAGGUGCAGUUGCAGGACUGGAGAGCAGAGUGGUCUUGAUGGGGUUUGGAUCCUUUUGCUCUCACCACAAAGAUGGCACAGUCUUUAUGUCUUUGAAGACUCCUUAAAAUUAUUUUAUGUCUGACUCCCCUGAUGAAAGUUGGAUGCUUCUAUUGUCACCACAAAGAUAUUA
rnacentral:lncRNA from 1 species